GGUUAAGCGACUAAGCGUACACGGUGGAUGCCCUGGCAGUCAGAGGCGAUGAAGGACGUGCUAAUCUGCGAUAAGCGCCGGUAAGGUGAUAUGAACCGUUAUAACCGGCGAUUUCCGAAUGGGGAAACCCAGUGUGAUUCGUCACACUAUCAUUAACUGAAUCCAUAGGUUAAUGAGGCGAACCGGGGGAACUGAAACAUCUAAGUACCCCGAGGAAAAGAAAUCAACCGAGAUUCCCCCAGUAGCGGCGAGCGAACGGGGAGGAGCCCAGAGCCUGAAUCAGCAUGUGUGUUAGUGGAAGCGUCUGGAAAGGCGCGCGAUACAGGGUGACAGCCCCGUACACAAAAGCGCAUGUGCUGUGAGCUCGAUGAGUAGGGCGGGACACGUGGUAUCCUGUCUGAAUAUGGGGGGACCAUCCUCCAAGGCUAAAUACUCCUGACUGACCGAUAGUGAACCAGUACCGUGAGGGAAAGGCGAAAAGAACCCCGGCGAGGGGAGUGAAAAAGAACCUGAAACCGUGUACGUACAAGCAGUGGGAGCACAGGUUUACCUGUGUGACUGCGUACCUUUUGUAUAAUGGGUCAGCGACUUAUAUUCUGUAGCAAGGUUAACCGUAUAGGGGAGCCGGAGGGAAACCGAGUCUUAACCGGGCGUUAAGUUGCAGGGUAUAGACCCGAAACCCGGUGAUCUAGCCAUGGGCAGGUUGAAGGUUGGGUAACACUAACUGGAGGACCGAACCGACUAAUGUUGAAAAAUUAGCGGAUGACCUGUGGCUGGGGGUGAAAGGCCAAUCAAACCGGGAGAUAGCUGGUUCUCCCCGAAAGCUAUUUAGGUAGCGCCUCGUGAAUUCAUCUCCGGGGGUAGAGCACUGUUUCGGCUAGGGGGCCAUCCCGGCUUACCAACCCGAUGCAAACUGCGAAUACCGGAGAAUGUUAUCACGGGAGACACACGGCGGGUGCUAACGUCCGUCGUGAAGAGGGAAACAACCCAGACCGCCAGCUAAGGUCCCAAAGUCAUGGUUAAGUGGGAAACGAUGUGGGAAGGCCCAGACAGCCAGGAUGUUGGCUUAGAAGCAGCCAUCAUUUAAAGAAAGCGUAAUAGCUCACUGGUCGAGUCGGCCUGCGCGGAAGAUGUAACGGGGCUAAACCAUGCACCGAAGCUGCGGCAGCGACACUCAGGUGUUGUUGGGUAGGGGAGCGUUCUGUAAGCCUGUGAAGGUGGCCUGUGAGGGUUGCUGGAGGUAUCAGAAGUGCGAAUGCUGACAUAAGUAACGAUAAAGCGGGUGAAAAGCCCGCUCGCCGGAAGACCAAGGGUUCCUGUCCAA
rnacentral:rRNA from 1 species